ensembl:lncRNA
GUUUUAGCAAAGAAUAGUAUCAUAGUCAGUGAUUAUUGGGAGUUAUCUUAUUUAUAGGACCAGAUCACUUCAUUCAUCUCAGCAUCCAUCAUGGUACACAGUGCAUAGAUGUUGACUUGGAAAGACACUAAAAGAGAACAGAGAGGAGAAAUAGUUUCUCUGCAGGAAUUAUAUCAGAGUAUAGAAGAAAAGGACAAAUUUUGUGUUCACAAUACACUUCUCAAGUUUGAAAUGGAAGAAGCAAUUUUCAAAGCUAAAGAGAAGGUAAGAAAACUCCUCAGAUGUUUACUUCAUUGUGGUAACUGGUUGAUCUAAUCUAAAUGAAAAGAUGAGUGGGAUUUAUAGUGAAAGAAGGGGAUCAGCUCCUGUGGGAAUAGUCAAACAUGAGUUAAUCAAAGAUGUGGAAAUGAUAAUGUGCCAUAGAAGUUGUAUCUAAGUUGAGCCUAUGAAUGUUGAUGUCAAUAUAUAUUUCAGUUCUCAUCCAUGUCUUUUGAAAAUAUUUUAUAGAAGCCUUCUCUAGUACAUUUUUGAUGUACUGUGGGUGGGUUUUGUUUUACGGUGAUGUGUCUUUAUUUUUACAUUGCAGUUUGCUAGCUACCUUUGUGUAGAAACAUCUCACUGAAAAGGUGAUAGAUUCUAAAUCACGGUGGAAAGUUAAAAGUAGGCCACUUUCUGAGUCUAGAUGUUGAAGAUGCCAUCUGCGUGCUAGGGAUGGAUAUGCAGAACACAAAGACAGCAGCUUGUGAAAUCGCUGGAGCUGUCUGGAAAGCAAAAGUAUUUGUGAAUUUCUCUUUAAAACUGGAAUAUAAUCUGGUGUUUUUCUUGAGUUUAAUCAGGUCCUGGUUAACAAAGAGGGCUUCCUGCAUAGAUUGCUGAAUCAGCUUAGGAAAACUUCUAGAAAUUUCUAUUCUUCACAACUAAAUCAUGCUGGAAAGCACAUACAGGUGCAACUGUAGCAUUCAAGCUCACCUGGUUUUAUUUUAUUAAAAGCAGGUGAGGAUGUAGUAUCAUAGGAGUGUAUGAUGUAGCAUUUAGCUGCUCUUUUUAGGUACUUUUUUUUCUCCAUUGAAGUACUCUACUCAAGGGAUGGAACAACCCUAAU